rnacentral:SRP_RNA from 1 species
AGGGCAGAAGCCUGUUUUGAGGCCUUCAUUUGUGGUGUUUGCCCUUAGUAAGUGGUGUUGACAAGUGGGUCCGACGCAACAAAAAUUCAUGAACCCCGUCAGGUCCGGAAGGAAGCAGCGGUAAGUGGACACUUUUGUGUGCCGUCGGGUAGCCUGCUUCGAGCUAACUGCUUUGGUUACAACCGGAAGUGAUUGUCGAAGACAGGGCGCGG